AGACAACAGUCAUUUUGUAUGCUGGUAAAAGUAAAUAUUGGGGUGAAAAUGACAUAAAAAUCUUGAGAAAACCGUCACACAUAGAGGAAAAUGAAAUGCCAGGUGAAAUGCAGCAGGAUAACAAACUCCCCAGUACAGAUCACCUGUCUAACCCAGGAAGAAGUACAGUGCCGCAUACAAAAAAUUUAAAUAGGCAAAUCACCAAGUUCAGAUGGUAUCCACCCACCUGAUCUAAGAGAGGGUCCGCAUUGAAGAUUGAACAGGAGUAAGCAAUGAGGAAAAGUCCUUAUGUAGUGAGGGCCGAAGCAAUUGGAGCAUAUCCUUUAAGGCAUUUUCAGAUACCGUUUUAUCAGUGGUCUGGUAUAGGGCAAACAUGUCUCCUGCGCCCACCUGGCUAGACUGCUCUCCCUCAGCACCUGCCGCCCAGUCAUCAGCCUUUGCCGCCCAGUCAUCAGCCUUUGCAGAGUUCAACUACCGCCAAUUUUUUGGAUAUCCAGAUGCACCGACAAUCAGAUGGACACAUCGCUACAGAUAUUGAUAGAAAGGAAACCUCUACAAAUUCGCUGCUUCAUGCCACCUCAUCCCAUAUGCCAUCUACGAUCAGAGCAGUGCCCAUAGGUUUGACCUCUAGACAACUGCGCACCCGAGUCCGAGAACAUGUGAGGGACAUUAUCUCUGCCAAGAACUGUGUUGAUACUAUGAGCUUAAAAACCCUGCCAAGACACUUUAAGGAGAAACACGGAUGUGACCCCUCUGGAUUAAAAAUAUACCUUUGUACACAUGGCAUUAUAAGGCACACCGUUACCCUGUGAUAUGAGUCUCGCAUCUCAGUAUGAAAGAUACAAAUUAUUGAAAGAAGUAUGGACUACUUGAAGACCACUAAAUGAACCAUGGUAGUCAGACUGUGUUAAAGGAAAAAGGAAAAAAUUGGACAAUAUGGUAGUGAAAGGAAUUGUAGCGGGGUUUUGGAUUUUUUGGGAUUUUUCCCUAGUAAGUGCCACAUUGGUGGCUGUAUACAAUUUGACAGCUGCUGUGGUCUACUGGAGUUUUAUUCAAAUAUUGGGGCAUAAUUCUGUAUUUUUUUGUCAUUAAUAUAGAUUUGGCAUUCACUUUAUAGAUGUGGUUUUAUCAACACCUUUUUUGUAUCGGGAUAUUGGGUAAUAUCCCUUGUAUUUUCUUAUAUAUUGGGUAACUGGGUUACAUUGUCAAAUUAAUAUGCACUUUAAUCAUACUGUUUAAUGGGGAUUUGCCAGUAAUUAAUACUGACAUGAUAUACAUAUAUAUUUGCACUGUAUGCACAGCACUUUAUUUAUUCUUGUAAUAUGUUAUAUUUAUAUAUAUAAUAUUUUUUUCCUUUUGUUAUAUGUUAUCUUGAUAUGCACUUAUAAUAUAGCACGAUUUAUUUUUGCAUUGGGUUAAUACUGCACUGGGUCUAUUUACUCCAUAUAUGUCCUUACUUGUAUACUAUUGUCAAGUCUGUCCCAUGGAUUCAUGCAGAUGUCUGCACUGAGUAUUUCGUACGGCUGUGUUGGUUCAGUGCGCAUGCGAGGCAUGUCGAUAUCCGAGAUACCGCCCUUCCGACAUGACCGUGGCCGUAGUGCGCAUGUCCGGAAGCUUACUGCUUUCGGGCAUGCGCAUAGUGGUGUGGACGCCGGAAGUGGGGCGGUUGUUUACAUCCGGAAGACUACUAUCGCAUGCACCAAAAGAAUCAUCCACAGCUGUAAUUAAUUGUAAGUAAUAGCGAGCACUAUAAAGAUUGUGGUGCGGUGUUGUUCAGCAGUACCUCUUGAUAAAGGGAAACCGAAACGAUCGUAGGGGUCAGGGCUCUGCAGCUCAAUAUGGGUAAGUUUACCAUAUGCACUUUAUUUGACCAGUCUCUGUGUCUCUCUGCAGUCUGCAUGGAUCCAUAGAUAAAUGCUUGUGCUACUAUUAUAUUGUCAUACUAUUAUUGCGCAAUAUUUUAUCUUUGUAUGUAUAUGCACAUUUGGGUUGCAACUUACUUUGGCACUUUUUUGCACUAAUUUAUAUUCAAUAAUACCCACAAUUGUGGUCAGUGUAUAUUAUAAAUACCGUAUAUAGAGCACUUUAGUAGUAAUAAUUUAUGUGCAGUGCAGUUCUCUUAGAGACUGAGAUACCAUACUGAUUACUUUUUACAUGAUAUUAUAUGAUAGCCCAUUGUAGCUGGCAGUAGCCCUAUUCUUUUGUACUGGAAUCUAACCUUAAUCCCAUCUCCAAUUAUUGGCGUCUGUUUACAUUGUUUUUUAAA